CCUACGGGAGGCAGCAGUGAGGAAUAUUGGUCAAUGCACGAGAGUCUGAACCAGCCAAGUAGCGUGAAGGAUGACUGCCCUCUGGGUUGUAAACUUCUUUUAUAAAGGAAUAAAACGCGGCACGUGUGCCUUUUUGCAUGUACUUUAUGUAUAAGGAUCGGCUAACUCCGUGCCAGCAGCCGCGGUAAUACGGAGGGUCCGAGCGUUAUCCGGAUUUACUGGGUUUAAAGGGAGCGUAGAUGGGUUGUUAAGUCAGUUGUGAAAGUUUGCGGCUCAACCGUAAAAUUGCAAGUGAUACUGGCAGACUUGAGUACAGUUGAGGUAGGCAGAAUUCGUGGUGUAGCGGUGAAAUGCUUAGAUAUCACGAAGAAUCCCGAUAGCGAAGGCAGCUUACUAAACUGAGACUGACAUUGAUGCACGAAAGUGUGGGUAUCAAACAGGAUUAGAUACCCCAGUAGUC
rnacentral:rRNA from 1 species